UGGCGUUGACUCCAAUUGAACCGCAGGCUCAUCCCUUGUGGUGCUCCCCCGCCAAUUCCUUUAGUUUCAUACUUGCGUACGUACUUCCCAGGCGGCAGACUUAACGGCUUCCCUGCGGCACUGCAUUGGCCACAAGCCAAUGCAUCACCGAGUCUGCAUCGUUUACAGCUGGGACUACCCGGGUAUCUAAUCCGGUUUGCUCCCCCAGCUUUCAUCCCUCACCGUCGAACGUGUUCUGGUACACCGCCUUCGCCACAGGUGGUCUUCAAUAGAUCAAAGGAUUUUACCCCUUCCUAUCGAGUACCGUGUACCUCUCCCACUCCCUAGCUGCACAGUAUUUUCGGCGGCCUAUACGUUAAGCGCAUAGAUUUAACCGAAAACUUAUGCAACCGGCUACGGAUGCUUUAGGCCCAAUAAACCUCCUGACCACUCGAGGUGCUGGUUUUACCGCGGCGGCUGACACCAGAACUUGCCCACCCCUUAUUCACCAGUGAUUCUACAACUGACAAAAGACUCCUUUAGCAGGAGACACUCGGAUUAACCUUGUCGUGCUUUCGCACAUUGCAAAGGUUUCUCGCCUGCUGCGCCCCAUAGGGCCUGGGUCCGUGUCUCAGUNACCAUCUCCGGGCCCCUCC
rnacentral:rRNA from 1 species